UACGUAGGUGGCAAGCGUUGUCCGGAUUUACUGGGCGUAAAGGGCGCGUAGGCGGUUCGAUAAGUCCCGUGUGAAAUCCCUCGGCUCAACUGAGGAAUGGCACGGGAAACUGACGGGCUUGAGUUCGGGAGAGGGAAGCGGAAUUCCGGGUGUAGCGGUGAAAUGCGUAGAUAUCCGGAGGAACACCGGUGGCGAAGGCGGCUUCCUGGACCGACACUGACGCUGAGGCGCGAAAGCGUGGGGAGCAAACAGG
rnacentral:rRNA from 1 species